rnacentral:rRNA from 1 species
UACAGAGGGGGCAAGCGUUGUUCGGAAUUACUGGGCGUAAAGGGCGCGUAGGCGGCCUGCUAAGUCGAACGUGAAAUCCCUGGGCUCAACCCAGGAACUGCGUCCGAUACUGGUUGGCUUGAAUCCGGGAGAGGGAUGUGGAAUUUCCGGUGUAGCGGUGAAAUGCGUAGAUAUCGGAAGGAACAUCAGUGGCGAAAGCGACUUCCUGGACCAGUACCGACGUUCAGGCACGAAAGCGUGGGGAGCAAACAGG